CGCCUGGUGGAUGGCUCGGCUUGGGCGCCGAAGAAGGGCGCGGCAAGCUGCGAUAAGCCCCGGGGAGGCGCAUGCAGCCGUAGAUCCGGGGAUUCCCGAAUGGGACCUCCCACUGUAGGGGCUUAUCACCCCUACAGUGCUCCCAAAAAGGGAGCGGGAACCCCCCGAACGGAAACAUCUUAGUAGGGGGAGGAAGAGAAACCAAUAGGGAUCCCCUGAGUAGGGGCGACCGAAAAGGGGAGAGCCCAAACCAAACCCUGCGGGGAAACCCGUGGGGGAUGUGGUGUUGUUGGGUCCGGCCAACGCUCCUCCUCGGCGAAGCUGAAGUGGCCUGAAACGGCCCGCCGUAGAGGGUGAAAGCCCCGUAGGCGUAAGCCGAGAGGAUCCAUGGGGCCGGUAACCCAGAGUACCGUACCCUGAAUUGGGUGCGGGAAUCAGGGAGCCAUCAACUUCCAAGGCUAAACACGUCCCAAGACCGAUAGCGAACAAGUACGGUGACGGAAAGCUGAAAAGCACCCCGGAAGGGGGGUGAAAAGAGCCUGAAACCAGGCGGCUACAGGAACGUGCGCGGCCCGAAAGGGUAGAUCCCUCCCAAAGUUGACCGCGGCGACGCGGAAGACGAGGGAGGGGGACCAGGGUUGCGCGUUCCGUCUAGAAACACGGGCCGGGGAGUUCAGGGCCGUGGCAAGCUUAAGGGUUUUAAGCCCGUAGGCGUAAGGAAACUGACAUGCGCGCAGCCAGCCGUAAAGGCUGGCGAGGCGCGGGGUCUGAAAGGGCCCGGAGUCACGGCUCUGAAGCUAGAAACCGGGCGAUCUAGGCCGGGGCAGGGCGAAGCCCGGCGAAAGCCGGGUGGAGGCCCGAAGGGGUGCUGACGUGCAAUUCGCUCCUCUGACCCCGGUCUAGGGGCUAAAGACCAAUCUAGCCCGGUGAUAGCUAGUUCCCUCCGAAGUGGGUCCUAGCCCAGUCCCAAGCGAGGCCGCCCACGGGGUAGAGCACUGACUGGAAGGUAAGGGGCCGAAAGGCCUCGCCUUCCUAUCAAACUCCGAAUCCGUGGGCGCCGUAGACCUUGGGAGACGGGUUCCGGGGGGUAAGCUCCCGGACCGAGAGGGGGACAACCCGGACCGAGGUUAAGGCCCCCAAAUGCUGGCUAAGUGCCAAACAAAAGGGCGUCUCCAGCCUCAGACAGCGGGGAGGUAGGCUUAGAAGCAGCCAUCCUUUAAAGAGUGCGUAACAGCUCACCCGCCGAGGCUGGGGGCCCCGAAAAUGGACGGGGCUAAGCCAGCUGCCGAGACCUCGGGGCACGACCGUAAAGGUCGUGAUCCGGUAGGAGGGCGUCCCGGCUGGGCGGAAGCUGGGCCGUGAGGUCCAGUGGACCGGCCGGGAGUGCAGAUCCCGGUGGUAGUAGCAGCAAAGAGGGGUGAGAAUCCCCUCCGCCGUAGGGGCCAGGGUUCCCUGGCACUGUUCGUCAGCCAGGGGUCAGCCGGUCCUAAGGCCGACCUUAACCGGGUAGGCCGAAAGGGAAACCGGUUAAUAUUCCGGUGCCGUGGGGGUACUCUCGCGGCGACGCAAGGCCCAGCGCCCGACGUCUCGGGGUAGGUCGAGCGGCGCCGUCGCGCCGUCUAACUGUAUAAGCCUGGGGAGUGCCGUAAUGGCGAGAACCAGGCGAAAGCAGGAAUGGCCGCCCGUUUUAGGGCGGUUCGGCCGAUCCCUGGGGCCAGUGAAAAGGGUGCUGGGAAGGAUCCCCCACGACCGUACCAAGAACCGACACAGGUGCCCCUAGGCGAGAAACCUCAGGCGUGUCGGGUGUAAGCCGGGCGAGGGAACUCGGCAAAUUAGCCCCGUACCUUCGGUAGAAGGGGUGCCUGCGGUUUUCGCCUCGUGCGGGAACUGCAGGUCGCAGUGGCAAGGGGGUCCCGACUGUUUAAUAAACGGGUAAGGGCGCUGGCGCACCUGCCCGGUUAAAAAACACAGGGAACCGCAAGCCCGAAAGGGUGUGUACGGUUCCUGAAUCCUGGCCAGUGGGGGUACCUGAAACCCGGGUUCAACCGGGCUAAGGGCCCCUAAACGCCGGGAGUAACUCUGACUCUCUCAAUUCCGGCAAGGAGAAACUUGCUGGAGAGAAGGGUAGCCAAAUGCCUUGUCGGGUAAGUUCCGACGCGCAUGAAUGGAUCAACGAGGGCCCCGCUGUCCCCGCCCGGCACCCGGCGAACCCACAUUCGUAGAGGAACGGUCUACGGUCCCCCAGCGGGAAAAGAAGACCCCGUGGAGCUUUACUGCAGCCUGUCGCUGGGAUACGGUCGUGGGUGCAGAGCGUAGGCGGGAGCCUCUGACCCCACCUCUCCGGGGGUUGGGGUAGGCGCCAAUGGAACACCGCCCACUUGCGGCUGUAUCCCUUACCGGCGCCGUUGCGCGUCGGGACAACGGCAGGUGGGCAGUUCGGCUGGGGCGGCGCCCCCUUGAAAGGAUAUCGAGGGGGCCCAAAGGUCGGCUCAGGCGGGACAGAAACCCGCCGUAGAGUGCAAGGGCAAAAGCCGGCCUGACUGGACCCCUAACAGUAUCGGGUCCAGGGGCGAAAGCCGGGCCUAGCGAGCGGUCAUGUCCCCGUUGAUGGGGGCUGGCCGCGACAGAAAAGUUACCCCGGGGAUAACAGGCUCGUCGCGGGCGAGAGUUCCCAUCGACCCCGCGGCUUGGUACCUCGAUGUCGGCUCUUCCUAUCCUGGUCCCGCAUUAGGGGCCAAGGGUGGGGCUGCUCGCCCAUUAAAAGGGAACGUGAGCUGGGUUUAGACCGUCGUGAGACAGGUCGGACUUUAUCUGCUGGGGGUGGUGGCCGCCUGAGGGGAAAGCGUCCCCAGUACGAGAGGAACGGGAUGCUGUGGCCUCUAGUUUACCGGUUGUCCGACAGGGCACUGCCGGGCAGCCACGCCGCCGCGGAUAAGAGCUGAAAGCAUCUAAGCUCGAAGCCGCUCCCGAGACGAGGCGGCCAUUCCCCGGUAAGAGACCUGG
rnacentral:rRNA from 1 species